AAACUUUCAACAACGGAUCUCUUGGUUCUGGCAUCGAUGAAGAACGCAGCGAAAUGCGAUAAGUAAUGUGAAUUGCAGAAUUCAGUGAAUCAUCGAAUCUUUGAACGCACAUUGCGCCCCCUGGUAUUCCGGGGGGCAUGCCUGUUCGAGCGUCAUUGU
rnacentral:rRNA from 1 species